rnacentral:rRNA from 1 species
CAAGUACCGUGAGGGAAAGUUGCAAAGUACUUUGAAGAGAGAGUUCAAGAGGACGUGAAACCGGUAGGGUGGAAGCAGAUAAAGUUGACGAACGUGUGUCGUAUUCAGAACUACAAUUUGUGGUUUGUUUUUACGAUUCGAUGUGGGCCUGGCGUCUUUGGUUAAACUUAGUGUCUGGCGGCAAUGGUGACCCUGCGGAGGGAUAAUCGGUUGUCGUGCGAUGCUUGGUAUGGCUAGAGGUUCGCUGGUCUUAUAGUCAUCGCUUUAUCUGACCCGUCUUGAAACACGGACCAAGGAGUGUAGCGCUUACGCGAGUCUUAGAGUGUGUCAAAACUUUGAGGCGUAACGAAAGUAAAUGUGGAUUUAUUCACUGACUUGGGAUGCGUUUCUUUUUUGGAUAGCGUUGGACCAUGGUUUUUCGUAAUCGCUUGCGAUGCGGUGAAAAUAGAGCGUAAGCGGUGCGACCCGAAAGAUGGUGAACUAUGCCUGAGCAGGAUGAAGCCGGAGGAAACUCUGGUGGAAGUCCGAAGCGGUCGACGUGCAAAUCGAUC